rnacentral:rRNA from 1 species
AUUCGCGGCCUAUCAGCUUGUUGGUGAGGUAACGGCUCGCCAAGGCUACGACGGGUAGCUGGUCGGAGAGGACGACCAGCCACACUGGGACUGAGACACGGCCCAGACUCCUACGGGAGGCAGCAGCAGGGAAUAUUGCACAAUGGGCGAAAGCCUGAUGCAGCGACGCCGCGUGAGGGAUGAAGGCCUUCGGGUUGUAAACCUCUUUCAGGAGGGAAGAAGCGAAAGUGACGGUACCUCCAGAAGAAGCCCCGGCCAACUACGUGCCAGCAGCCGCGGUAAUACGUAGGGGGCAAGCGUUGUCCGGAUUCAUUGGGCGUAAAGAGCUCGUAGGCGGCUCAGCAAGUCGGUCGUGAAAGCCCGGGGCUCAACCCCGGGACGCCGAUCGAAACUGCUGUGGCUAGGGUCCGGUAGAGGAGAGUGGAAUUCCCGGUGUAGCGGUGAAAUGCGCAGAUAUCGGGAGGAACACCAGGAGCGAAGGCGGCUCUCUGGGCCGGUACCGACGCUGAGGAGCGAAAGCUAGGGGAGCAAACGGGAUUAGAUACCCUGGUAGUCCUAGCCGUAAACGUUGGGCACUAGGUGUGGCGGACUCAUUGACGUCUGCCGUGCCGAAGCAAACGCAUUAAGUGCCCCGCCUGGGGAGUACGGAAU